GAUGAACGCUGGCGGCGUGCCUAAUACAUGCAAGUCGAGCGAACAGACGAGGAGCUUGCUCCUCUGACGUUAGCGGCGGACGGGUGAGUAACACGUGGAUAACCUACCUAUAAGACUGGGAUAACUUCGGGAAACCGGAGCUAAUACCGGAUAAUAUAUUGAACCGCAUGGUUCAAUAGUGAAAGACGGUUUUGCUGUCACUUAUAGAUGGAUUCGCGCCGCAUUAGCUAGUUGGUAAGGUAACGGCUUACCAAGGCGACGAUGCGUAGCCGACCUGAGAGGGUGAUCAGCCACACUGGAACUGAGACACGGUCCAGACUCCUACGGGAGGCAGCAGUAGGGAAUAUUGCGCAAUGGGCGAAAGCCUGACGGAGCAACGCCGCGUGAGUGAUGAAGGUCUUCGGAUCGUAAAGCUCUGUUAUUAGGGAAGAAAAAAUGUGGAAGUAACUAUGCACGUCUUGACGGUACCUAAUCAGAAAGCAACGGCUAACUACGUG
rnacentral:rRNA from 1 species